rnacentral:rRNA from 1 species
UAGGGAAUCUUCGGCAAUGGGGGGAACCCUGACCGAGCAACGCCGCGUGAGUGAAGAAGGUUUUCGGAUCGUAAAGCUCUGUUGUUAAGGAAGAACGAGUGUGAGAAUGGAAAGUUCAUGCUGUGACGGUACUUAACCAGAAAGGGACGGCUAACUACGUGCCAGCAGCCGCGGUAAUACGUAGGUCCCGAGCGUUGUCCGGAUUUAUUGGGCGUAAAGCGAGCGCAGGCGGUUAGAAAAGUCUGAAGUGAAAGGCAGUGGCUCAACCAUUGUAGGCUUGGAAACUGUUUAACUUGAGUGCAGAAGGGGAGAGUGGAAUUCCAUGUGUAGCGGUGAAAUGCGUAGAUAUAUGGAGGAACACCGGUGGCGAAAGCGGCUCUCUGGUCUGUAACUGACGCUGAGGCUCGAAAGCGUGGGGAGCGAACAGG